CAGUCGCCACGGGAAUACGAAGGGGGCUAGCGUUGUUCGGAUUUACUGGGCGUAAAGCGCACGUAGGCGGACUUUUAAGUCAGGGGUGAAAUCCCGGGGCUCAACCCCGGAACUGCCUUUGAUACUGGAAGUCUUGAGUAUGGAAGAGGUUAGUGGAAUUGCGAGUGUAGAGGUGAAAUUCGUAGAUAUUCGCAGGAACACCAGUGGCGAAGGCGGCUAACUGGUCCAUAACUGACGCUGAGGUGCGAAAGCGUGGGGAGCAAACAGGAUUAGAUACCCGUGUAGUCCCUGUCUCUUAUAC
rnacentral:rRNA from 1 species